UGGGUUUUAGCUCAGUGGUAGAGCAUAUGCUGAGCAUGCAUGAGACCCUGAGUUCAAUCCCCAGUAUCUCAA
rnacentral:tRNA from 1 species